UUGAUGGCAAAAUACAUUAAAAGGCAUCCAAUGUAGUAUUAAUACACAGUAUUGUCAAGUAUUACUAUGUAGAUAUAAAAUAAUAUUGUAUUGAGAAUUUUCCUUCUCCAGUUAUUUUGCAAUAAACCAAAAAAACGUAUCACUUUUGUACAGAAUGGGAGGCAGACUUUUUUUUUUUUUCACGAUAUCAUUUUCGAAGUGCAUUUGCCUCAUGUGCCAGUGUACUAUUGUAAUACGAAAAGAAGUGAAAUAUGUAGCGGCAUUUUCAAACUGUUCAUGGAAAAUACGACACUGAUUUUCAGCCGAAAAGCAAGCUGAGAAUGAAAAAAGUGAACAAAAUAAAAUCCAAAUUGGUCGAUCAGCAGUCAUUUUUCACAUAAUAUAGUUCAACAGUGAAAGCCGCCACGGAUGCAUCGUUCCCAGUUAGUCACAUAAUCGUUAAUAACAAAAAGUCCUUCCAAGACGGAGAAAUGGAAAAAGAGGCUUUCAUUGAAGCAGCUGACUCAUUGUUCUGAUCUUUUAAAAAUAGGGGGGAAAAUAUCUUCAAAAAAAGCUCUGCAGCUGUAAAGGAGUACAGUUACACGGUGCUGCGAAGCCAUGGCUGAUGUGUGGAAGGACAUCACAGAUAGUGUUUCUCACUGCAAUUGGACGAAUCCACUGACGUGAGUGACACAGCCCAGGGUCGCAGGGUGUGCCGGAACCUAUUCCAGAUGACUCCGGGGGAAGAGGCGAUCAGUGAACACCCUGAACUGAUUGCCAGCCAAUCGCAAGUCAAUUAACCUAGAGUGGAUGUUUUGGGGAUAUGGGAGGAAACCGGAGUACCUGAAGAAAACCCACAUAAAAUAUGCAACAUGCUUUCCUCCAGUGGCUGUGUCACCUGGGGUGUUGUUGCCAUACAGUGGUGCUGAUGAAUGACUGCGAUCACCCCCAUGAAACACACCAACCGGAGACAAAAAUAGCAGAUGCCAGUACCUCAGGUGUGUAACUCAAAAACCUUUUUAAUUGAUUUUUUUUUAAUUAAAUGGACCAUCUUGAGAAUUCAGUUUUUGCAAAUUACCUGCCAGACACAUUAUAUCAUUUUUCUAUUGUAUUUUAUAAUUGUGUAAAGAUGAAAAAUGGGGGGGGGGGUUCAAAGUUGUGUAUCACGUCCAGAUAAAUGGUGAGUUGUCAUUUGUCUCACAUUCAUUUUCAAACCCAAAUGCUUUGAGUUUACGAGGACAUGAUGCGCCAAUGCUUAUGCUUCGAUUUUUCUAGCGUCAUUUCUGUCAACACUAACGUCGCAAAAAUAACAGGUCUGUUCCUAUUGAACAAGUUUCCCCGUUAUUAGCACGACGUGAGCUGAAAAGAUGUGAGGGAUUUAAAGCAUUAAAAUUCAGACUGGGAGGUUUUCCGUGCCCUGCCUUUCAUUUUCUAUAGCGUUCGUCCUCAUUAGGAUGACGGGUCAGCUCGAGUUUAUGCUAGCUGACUUUGGGCAUGAGGUGGGAUAAACCCUGGACUGGUCGCUGCUCAAUUGUAAUACGCAUACGGUAUAAUCAAACAACCAUCCACGCUCACAAUUAUGGGCAAUGUAGAAACUUGAAAAAGCAAGCAAGUCACCCAGUAAUGUAGACCAUCGCCUAAAUAGGAUUGCGGGCCAAAUUAAACGCCAGCGUGUUAAACAGGGAGGACCAAUCGGCUCCCGGCACACAAGCCGGCGCGCUGAUGGACGGAUUCAUUUGCGGCAGGUACCCCAAAUUGAAGGCUGCUGUAAAUGGCCUAUCAGAGAUUGUUCAUGUGCAAAAUAAGGCCGAUCCAAUCUCAUCGACCGUUUCUUUCCCACCAACAUCCGCAACUGAAAAAAAAGGACCACAGUUCAUCCUCUGGAGUUUUCAACCUUCCUUCUAAUUUGUAUAUUUGAGGAACAUUACACGUAAGGAAACAGCGGGGCUGCCGCUUUAUGACACCACGGCGCCCGAGCACAAUCAGAGGGAGCCAUCAAAGACAAACAGAGGCGACGAGACCGAGAAACCAAAAAACUGUGGAGGAGAGCCGGUGCAUAAUGAGCAAAGACACUUAAAAGCUCGCUAAAGAUCAUUACUGGGACGAUCAAACGCAUGUGAGACAAUUUCUCCACGCAGGGUUGGGUAAUUAUGAAGCAUCGUCUAUAACAAUAUACAUUUACAUUCAUUUGCAUGGUUCCCAUUACCUGCAACCUAUCAGUGUGGUGGUAGAUGCGCCGAAAAUAAGAUCCCUGGGGAACUUCUGGAAUAGUUCAAGGUAUGUUUACACUUGAUAAAAAUAGAAGAGAGCCUUGACCUCGUGUUGGCAAUGUAGUGAAGCAUAUAGAGGUUAGUGGCAACCAAUCACUCACGUACUUUACAAAUCUGUUUCUAUACAUUAAAAUGCACUGUUUAAAGGGCUCCUGUCAUGAAAUGGAUGAUUUUUAGUACAUUAAUGAAAAACCAUCACCCAAUAUGGGCUCAUGCAUUUUUUUCAUGAAAAUCCUCUGGAGGGAUUUGUUUUCGAGAAGAAGCAGGAAGUGAUGUAAUGGACAGCAGCGCCCCCAAGUGGACUCGUUUGUUUCCAUUAGUUUUACCUCCGGGAAGGUAGCUCGUUGUUCUUUCGUGUGAGCCAAAAUGCCGGCUCAUUGCAUUGCUGGACAUUGCUUGAACACUAGGGAGAAUGGAUUUAGCUUUCAUAAGUUUGCAAGAGACCCGGUUUGUUGUGAAAAAUGGAUUGCACGGGUGCAGAGGACAAGAGCUUCGUGGGUUCCAAAUAACAGGUAGGUGUGUAUACAGCUACUAAAUAAAAAAUAAUACUUUGGGGCGGACCACGUAAUCGGUCUCUCAUAACGUAACAAAAGAAAAAUGUACGUACGAAAUAUUUCAAUGUGCGCCUUGGACGGCGUCGGGGUGCUGCGCGAACGUCUGCGAAUCUAAAGAACCCACCCGAGAAUGCCUCACUCAGCCGCGUUCGCGCAG